rnacentral:rRNA from 1 species
CCAAUAGCGUAUAUUAAAGUUGUUGCAGUUAAAAAGCUCGUAGUUGAAUUUCGGGAUCAGUACGCCGGUCGUGCCUUCGGUAUGCACUGGUGUCACUGGUUCCUCCCUUCUGACGAACCGUCAUGCCAUUCACUUGGUGUGGCGGGAAAUCAGGACUGUUACUUUGAAAAAAUUAGAGUGUUUAAAGCAGGCUCACGCUUGAAUACAUUAGCAUGGAAUAAUGAAAUAGGACGUUGAUCUUAUUUUGUUGGUUUCUAGGAUUGACGUAAUGAUUAAUAGGGAUAGUUGGGGCAUUAGUAUUCAAUUGUCAGAGGUGAAAUUCUUGGAUUUAUUGAAGACUAACUACUGCGAAAGCAUUUGCCAAGGAUGUUUUCAUUAAUCAAGAACGAAAGUUAGGGGAUCGAAGACGAUCAGAUACCGUCGUAGUCUUAACCAUAAACUAUGCCGACUAGGGAUCGGAUGAUGUUAAUUUUUUAAUGACUCAUUCGGCGCCUACG